AUAAUUUUAAGUAAAACCUGCUCCAUGUAACAUAAAUAGCCGCAGAAUUUUUAACUGUGCUAAGGUAGCAUAAUCAUUAGUCUUUUAAUUGAAGACUAGAAUGAACGGUUCAACAUUUCAACUUCUUUCUUAAAUUUAAUUUAUAUAAAUUUCACUAAAUAUAAAAAUUUAUUUAUAAAUAAAUUAGACGACAAGACCCUGUCGAACUUUACUUUAGUUCGACUGGGGCAGUCAAAAAAUUAAAAUCUUUAAAACAGGUAUUUAACAAAAAAUCUAGUAACACUAAAAAUUAAACAAGUUACCGCAGGGAUAACAGCGUCAUAAAUUUUUAAAGUUCUUAUUUAAAAAUAAACUUGCGACCUCGAUGUUGAAUUAAAUUCCUAUAAAACGCAAAAGUUCUAAAAGGGGGUCUGU
rnacentral:rRNA from 1 species